AUUGAACGCUGGCGGCAUGCUUUACACAUGCAAGUCGAACGGCAGCGCGGGCUUCGGCCUGGCGGCGAGUGGCGAACGGGUGAGUAAUACAUCGGAACGUGCCCAGUAGUGGGGGAUAGCUCGGCGAAAGCCGGAUUAAUACCGCAUACGACCUGAGGGUGAAAGCGGGGGAUCUUCGGACCUCGCGCUAUUUGAGCGGCCGAUGGCAGAUUAGCUAGUUGGUGGGGUAAAGGCGUACCAAGGCGACGAUCUGUAGCUGGUCUGAGAGGACGACCAGCCACACUGGAACUGAGACACGGCCCAGACUCCUACGGGAGGCAGCAGUGGGGAAUCUUGGACAAUGGGCGAAAGCCUGAUCCAGCAAUGCCGCGUGUGUGAUGAAGGCCUUCGGGUUGUAAAGCACUUUUGGCGGGAACGAAAAGGACUGUGCCAAUACCACGGUUCGAUGACGGUACCCGCAGAAUAAGCACCGGCUAACUACGUG
rnacentral:rRNA from 1 species